CUGCGAGACGGAUAUGUCAAGCAGGUGCGAAAGCAGGACUUAGUGAACCAAUGAUUGCUCGUAGGAGCGUCAACGAUUAACAGAUAAAAGCUACUCCGGGGAUAACAGGCUGGUACUGUCCGAGCGUCAACAUGGGCGCUCAUUAAAUCGGCUUAUAACGGUGAAACCUUCCUUAAUUUGUGAUAAAAUUAAGAUGGCAAUACCGUGGGAAGAUAGUUAUAAAAUACACUUGUCUUGGAGAAUAAACGAAUAAAACUGAUGAGAGCAGUUGAGCUGUCCGCAGAUCAAAUAUCUGUUCUGGUCGGCUCAUUGCUUGGCGAUGGAUAUCUUGACGAGACCACUAUGGGCUACUCAUUUAGAUUACAUCAUGGAAUAAAACAAAAAGAUUAUAUUAAUUGGAAAUAUAAAAUUUUAAGCAAUAUCGUCAAUUCUCCACCGAAAGUGUAUGGAACAAGAAUGUAUUUCAGAACCGUUUCUCAUCCAUAUUUAGUUGAUUUGAGAAAAUUAUUCUACAAAAAAGAUAGGAGUAAGGUUAUUCCAGAAAAUUUUCUUGAAAAAUUUCUUAAUCCCUUAUCUUUAGCAGUUUGGAUUAUGGAUGACGGAACAAAUGAGUUGGGCAGUGGUAAAUGUGUGAAAAUAAAUUCUCAAAGUUUCAGUUAUGCUGAUAAUGAAAUUAUCUGUAAGCUUUUGAGAAAUAAAUUUGAUUUGAAAGCGAAUAUAAACAAAGAUAGAACCUACUUUCGAAUCAGAUUUCACAAAGAAAGCAUGUCGCAACUAAUAGAAAUGGUUCGACCAUAUAUUUUACCUUCAUUGUUUUAUAAACUAUCCCCGUAACGACUUAUCGGGUUCGACUCGAUAGAUAGUAAGUGAGGAGACUCCGCAACUUAACUAACGGAGUCAAAGACUUAUUAUAAUACGCUGAUCAGGCACUUUCUUGAAUUUUAUGAAAGUGACUGAGUGAUAUAGUCUGAACUUGUCGAAAGACAAGAAUGGAAAAUCUAGCCAUAGCGACGACAGUGUUCGGCACCUCGAUGUCGGCUCGCCUUAUCCUGGGACUGAAGAAGGCCCCAAGGGUUUAGCUGUUCGCUAAUUAAAAAGGUACGCGAGCUGGGUUCAAACCGUCGUGAGACAGGUUGGUCCUUAUCUGGUGUGGGCGUUGAUACUUGAGGGGGGUUGUUCCUAGUAAAAGUUUUGCUACUUUAUAGGGUAACCUGUAUUGAAAAUUCGGCUAAUAACGGUGAAGGCUCUUGUUUGCUAUGCAAUUCGGUCCGAAAAGCAUAGGUUAAACUGAUAAGAGUUAAUACCGUGGGAAGUUUAUCUGCUUAAAUUUUUGAAGCGGAUAGACCCCGUAACGACUUACCCAGCACCAUUUUUAGAAAAAUAGUGCUGGAUGGAUGGUUGGUUUUAACCAACUAUAAUAUGCCGACAUCCGCUUUAAGGCGGAAGAAGAUAUAGUCUACACUUCUAGCGAUAGAAGAUUAUGUGACGAGAGGACCGGAAUGAGUGUACCUCUAGUGUGCCAGCUGUCGUGCCAACGGCACUGCUGGGUAGCUAUGUACAUGACCGAUAAGCGCUGAAAGCAUAUAAGCGCGAAGCGGGCCCCAAGAUUAGGUAUCGUGUCCGCCUUUGGCGGACGAAGAUCCGUGGGAGAUUACCACGUUGAUAGGAUGCAGGUGUAAGUCCGGUAACGGAUUCAGCCGAGCAUUACUAAUAGAUCAAUUAAUUCCUUGCA
rfam:Candidatus Harrisonbacteria bacterium RIFCSPLOWO2_02_FTLL_41_13b rifcsplowo2_02_scaffold_11440, whole genome shotgun sequence.